rnacentral:rRNA from 1 species
UUAGCCUAGUGGCGCACGGGUGAGUAACGCGUGGGAACCUGCCUAGAAGUGAGGAAUAACAGUUGGAAACGACUGCUAAUACUGGAUGUCGUCGUACCCUCGCAUGGGGGGAUGACGAAAGGGUUACCGGAUCGGGACGGUCUCGCGGCCUAUCAGCUUGUUGGGGAGGUAACGGCUCACCAAGGCUUCGACGGGUAGCUGGUCUGAGAGGAUGAUCAGCCACACUGGGACUGAGACACGGCCCAGACUCC